GCCCGCGUGGUCUAGUGGUUCAGGACGUCGCUCUAACGCUAGCGGAGAUCUUCUCUACGUUGCGGCGUAGAGUGGCUCUCCGCUAGGGUGGCGAAGGCACCGGUUCGAAUCCGGGAGCGAGCA
rfam:Magnaporthe poae ATCC 64411 unplaced genomic scaffold supercont1.2, whole genome shotgun sequence.